ACGGCCAUACCAAGCUGAAAUCACCGGUUCUCGUCUGAUCACCGAAGUCAAAUAGCAUCGGGAGCGGUCAGUACUUUGACACCUGGGAACACCGCGUGCUGUU